GUGGUCAGCCACACUGGGACUGAGACACUGCCCAGACUCCUACGGGAGGCUGCAGUCGAGAAUAUUUAGCAAUGGACGAAAGUCUGACUAUGCGACGCCGCGUGAAGGAUGAAGGUUUUCGGAUCGUAAACUUCUUUUUUCAGGAAAGAAACUUUUAACUCUAAUACAGUUAAAACUGACGGUACCUGAAGAAUAAGCCACGGCCAACUCCGUGCCAGCAGCCGCGGUAAUACGGAGGUGGCAAGCGUUACUCGGAUUCACUGGGUGUAAAGGGCAAGUAGGCGGUCUAAUGGGUGAGGGGUGAAAUCUUCCGGCUCAAUCGGAAAACUGCCUUUCAAACUAUUAGACUUGAGGAUGGAAGAGGAAAAUGGAAUUCUCAGUGUAAGGGUGAAAUCUGUAGAUAUUGAGAAGAACACCAGCGGCGAAGGCGAUUUUCUGGUCCAUUCCUGACGCUGAAUUGCGAAAGCUAGGGGAGCAAACAGAAUUAGAUACUCUGGUAGUCCUAGCCGUAAACGAUGAGCACUAGGUGUUGGCCCCUCGGGGUCAGUGCCGCAGCUAACGCAUUAAGUGCUCCACCUGGGGACUACGGUCGCAAGAUUAAAACUCAAAGGAAUUGACGGGGACCCGCACAAGCGGUGGAACAUGUGGUUCAAUUCGAUGCUACGCGAAGAACCUCACCAGGGCUUGACAUGUAGAAAGUAGUGAUCUGAAAGGUGAACGACCUGUCAAGUCAGGAAUUUACACAGGUGCUGCAUGGCUGUCGUCAGCUCGUGUCGUGAGAUGUUGGGUUAAGUCCCGCAACGAGCGCAACCAUUAUCUCUUGUUGCCACCAUUGUUUUCCUUCGGGAAAGCAGUGAGCACUCUAGAGAGACUGCCUGGGUUAACCAGGAGGAAGGCGGAGAUGACGUCAAGUCAGUACGGCCUUUAUGCCCUGGGCUACACACGUGUUACAAUGGCAGGUACAAAGAGUUGCCAACCCGUAAGGGGGAGCUAAUCUCAAAAAACCUGCCUCAGUUCGGAUUGGAGUCUGAAAUUCGACUUCAUGAAGCUGGAAUCGCUAGUAAUGGCAGAUCAGCACGCUGCCGUGAAUACGUUCCCGGGUCUUGUACACACCGCCCGUCAAGCGAUGGAAGUUAGUGGUACCCGAAGUCCUAUGUAGAUAGGCCGAAGGCAAAACUGAUGACUGGCGCUAAGUCGUAACAAGGUA
rnacentral:rRNA from 1 species